rnacentral:rRNA from 1 species
UGAGGAAUAUUGGGCAAUGCCCGCAAGGGUGACCCAGCAACGCCGCGUGGAGGAUGAAUGUCGUAAGAUUGUAAACUCCUGUUAGAGGGGAAGAAUAGUACCGGUUGGACCGGUAUAUGACUGUACCCUCAGAGAAAGCCCCGGCUAACUACGUGCCAGCAGCCGCGGUAAUACGUAGGGGGCAAGCGUUGUCCGGAUUUACUGGGGGUAAAGGGGGCGCAGGCGGGAUAAAAAGUCAGUGGUGAAAUCCUACAGCUUAACUGUAGAACUGCCUUUGAUACUUUUAUUCUGGAGUUCGGGAGAGAGAGACGGAAUUCCAGGUGUAGUGGUGAAAUACGUAGAUAUCUGGAAUAACACCAGUUGCGAAGGCGGUCUCUUGGUCCGACACUGACGCUGAGGCGCGAAAGCGUGGGGAGCAAACA